rnacentral:rRNA from 1 species
UACGAAGGGGGCUAGCGUUGCUCGGAAUCACUGGGCGUAAAGCGCACGUAGGCGGACUCUUAAGUCGGUGGUGAAAUCCUGGAGCUCAACUCCAGAACUGCCUUCGAUACUGAGAGUCUUGAGUCCGGGAGAGGUGAGUGGAACUGCGAGUGUAGAGGUGAAAUUCGUAGAUAUUCGCAAGAACACCAGUGGCGAAGGCGGCUCACUGGCCC